GACGAACGCUGGCGGCGCGCCUAACACAUGCAAGUCGAACGGAGCUGAGAGAAGCUUGCUUUUCUUAGCUUAGUUGCGAACGGGUGAGUAACGCGUGAGUAACCUGCCCUGGAGUGGGGGACAACAGUUGGAAACGACUGCUAAUACCGCAUAAGCCCACGAUCCGGCAUCGGCUUGAGGGAAAAGGAUUUAUUCGCUUCAGGAUGGACUCGCGUCCAAUUAGCUAGUUGGUGAGGUAACGGCCCACCAAGGCGACGAUUGGUAGCCGGACUGAGAGGUUGAACGGCCACAGUGGGACUGAGACACGGCCCAGACUCCUACGGGAGGCAGCAGUGGGGGAUAUUGCACAAUGGGGGAAACCCUGAUGCAGCGACGCCGCGUGGAGGAAGAAGGUUUUCGGAUUGUAAACUCCUGUCGUUAGGGACGAUAAUGACGGUACCUAACAAGAAAGCACCGGCUAACUACGUG
rnacentral:rRNA from 1 species